GGUUAAGCGACUAAGCGUACACGGUGGAUGCCCUGGCAGUCAGAGGCGAUGAAGGACGUGCUAAUCUGCGAAAAGCGUCGGUAAGGUGAUAUGAACCGUUAUAGCCGGCGAUGUCCGAAUGGGGAAACCCAGUGUGAUUCGUCACACUAUCGUUAACUGAAUACAUAGGUUAACGAGGCGAACCGGGGGAACUGAAACAUCUAAGUACCCCGAGGAAAAGAAAUCAACCGAGAUUCCCCCAGUAGCGGCGAGCGAACGGGGAGCAGCCCAGAGUUUGAAUCAGCUUGUGUGUUAGUGGAACGGUCUGGAAAGUCCGACGGUACAGGGUGAUAGUCCCGUACACCAAAAUGCACAGGCUGUGAACUCGAAGAGUAGGGCGGGACACGUGGUAUCCUGUCUGAAUAUGGGGGGACCAUCCUCCAAGGCUAAAUACUCCUGACUGACCGAUAGUGAACCAGUACCGUGAGGGAAAGGCGAAAAGAACCCCGGCGAGGGGAGUGAAAAAGAACCUGAAACCGUGUACGUACAAGCAGUGGGAGCACCUUCGGGUGUGACUGCGUACCUUUUGUAUAAUGGGUCAGCGACUUAUAUUCUGUAGCAAGGUUAACCGUAUAGGGGAGCCGCAGGGAAACCGAGUCUUAACUGGGCGUUAAGUUGCAGGGUAUAGACCCGAAACCCGGUGAUCUAGCCAUGGGCAGGUUGAAGGUUGGGUAACACUAACUGGAGGACCGAACCGACUAAUGUUGAAAAAUUAGCGGAUGACUUGUGGCUGGGGGUGAAAGGCCAAUCAAACCGGGAGAUAGCUGGUUCUCCCCGAAAGCUAUUUAGGUAGCGCCUCGUGAAUUCAUCUUCGGGGGUAGAGCACUGUUUCGGCUAGGGGGUCAUCCCGACUUACCAACCCGAUGCAAACUACGAAUACCGAAGAAUGUUAUCACGGGAGACACACGGCGGGUGCUAACGUCCGUCGUGAAGAGGGAAACAACCCAGACCGCCAGCUAAGGUCCCAAAGUCAUGGUUAAGUGGGAAACGAUGUGGGAAGGCACAGACAGCCAGGAUGUUGGCUUAGAAGCAGCCAUCAUUUAAAGAAAGCGUAAUAGCUCACUGGUCGAGUCGGCCUGCGCGGAAGAUGUAACGGGGCUAAACCAUGCACCGAAGCUGCGGCAGCGACACUAUGUGUUGUUGGGUAGGGGAGCGUUCUGUAAGCCUGCGAAGGUGUGCUGUGAGGCAUGCUGGAGGUAUCAGAAGUGCGAAUGCUGACAUAAGUAACGAUAAAGCGGGUGAAAAGCCCGCUCGCCGGAAGACCAAGGGUUCCUGUCCAACGUUAAUCGGGGCAGGGUGAGUCGACCCCUAAGGCGAGGCCGAAAGGCGUAGUCGAUGGGAAACAGGUUAAUAUUCCUGUACUUGGUGUUACUGCGAAGGGGGGACGGAGAAGGCUAUGUUAGCCGGGCGACGGUUGUCCCGGUUUAAGCAUGUAGGCUGAUUAUCCAGGCAAAUCCGGAUAAUCAAGGCUGAGGUGUGAUGACGAGGCACUACGGUGCUGAAGUAACAAAUGCCCUGCUUCCAGGAAAAGCCUCUAAGCAUCAGGUAACAUCAAAUCGUACCCCAAACCGACACAGGUGGUCAGGUAGAGAAUACCAAGGCGCUUGAGAGAACUCGGGUGAAGGAACUAGGCAAAAUGGUGCCGUAACUUCGGGAGAAGGCACGCUGGUGUGUAGGUGAAGUCCCUGCGGAUGGAGCUGAGACCAGUCGAAGAUACCAGCUGGCUGCAACUGUUUAUUAAAAACACAGCACUGUGCAAACACGAAAGUGGACGUAUACGGUGUGACGCCUGCCCGGUGCCGGAAGGUUAAUUGAUGGGGUUAUCCGUAAGGAGAAGCUCUUGAUCGAAGCCCCGGUAAACGGCGGCCGUAACUAUAACGGUCCUAAGGUAGCGAAAUUCCUUGUCGGGUAAGUUCCGACCUGCACGAAUGGCGUAAUGAUGGCCAGGCUGUCUCCACCCGAGACUCAGUGAAAUUGAACUCGCUGUGAAGAUGCAGUGUACCCGCGGCAAGACGGAAAGACCCCGUGAACCUUUACUAUAGCUUGACACUGAACAUUGAGCCUUGAUGUGUAGGAUAGGUGGGAGGCUUUGAAGCGUGGACGCCAGUCUGCGUGGAGCCAACCUUGAAAUACCACCCUUUAAUGUUUGAUGUUCUAACGUUGGCCCCUUACCGGGGUUGCGGACAGUGUCUGGUGGGUAGUUUGACUGGGGCGGUCUCCUCCCAAAGCGUAACGGAGGAGCACGAAGGUUAGCUAAUCCUGGUCGGACAUCAGGAGGUUAGUGCAAUGGCAUAAGCUAGCUUGACUGCGAGCGUGACGGCGCGAGCAGGUGCGAAAGCAGGUCAUAGUGAUCCGGUGGUUCUGAAUGGAAGGGCCAUCGCUCAACGGAUAAAAGGUACUCCGGGGAUAACAGGCUGAUACCGCCCAAGAGUUCAUAUCGACGGCGGUGUUUGGCACCUCGAUGUCGGCUCAUCACAUCCUGGGGCUGAAGUAGGUCCCAAGGGUAUGGCUGUUCGCCAUUUAAAGUGGUACGCGAGCUGGGUUUAGAACGUCGUGAGACAGUUCGGUCCCUAUCUGCCGUGGGCGCUGGAGAAUUGAGGGGGGCUGCUCCUAGUACGAGAGGACCGGAGUGGACGCAUCACUGGUGUUCGGGUUGUCAUGCCAAUGGCACUGCCCGGUAGCUAAAUGCGGAAGAGAUAAGUGCUGAAAGCAUCUAAGCACGAAACUUGCCCCGAGAUGAGUUCUCCCUGAGACUUUAAGUCUCCUGAAGGAACGUUGAAGACGACGACGUUGAUAGGCCGGGUGUGUAAGCGCAGCGAUGCGUUGAGCUAACCGGUACUAAUGAACCGUGAGGCUUAACCUU
rnacentral:rRNA from 1 species